GUGAGGAAUAUUGGUCAAUGGGCGCAAGCCUGAACCAGCCAUGCCGCGUGCAGGAAGAAGGUCCUAUGGAUUGUAAACUGCUUUUAUUUGGGAAUAAACCUCUUUACGUGUAGAGAGCUGAAGGUACCAAAUGAAUAAGCACCGGCUAACUCCGUGCCAGCAGCCGCGGUAAUACGGAGGGUGCAAGCGUUAUCCGGAAUCAUUGGGUUUAAAGGGUCCGCAGGCGGACUUAUAAGUCAGUGGUGAAAGCCCAUCGCUUAACGAUGGAACUGCCAUUGAUACUGUAAGUCUUGAAUUCGGUCGAAGUGGGCGGAAUGUGACAUGUAGCGGUGAAAUGCUUAGAUAUGUCACAGAACACCGAUAGCGAAGGCAGCUCACUAGGCCUGGAUUGACGCUCAUGGACGAAAGCGUGGGGAGCAAACAGGAUUAGAUACCCCAGUAGUCC
rnacentral:rRNA from 1 species